rnacentral:rRNA from 1 species
GACGAACGCUGGCGGCGUGCCUAAUACAUGCGAGUAGAACGCACAGUUUAUACCGUAGCUUGCUACACCAUAAACUGUGAGUUGCGAACGGGUGAGUAACGCGUAGGUAACCUGCCUGGUAGCGGGGGAUAACUAUUGGAAACGAUAGCUAAUACCGCAUAAUAUUGAUUAUUGCAUGAUAAUUGAUUGAAAGAUGCUAUUGCAUCACUACCAGAUGGACCCGCGUUGUAUUAGCUAGUAGGUGAGGUAACGGCUCACCUAGGCGACGAUACAUAGCCGACCUGAGAGGGUGAUCGGCCACACUGGGACUGAGACACGGCCCAGACUCCUACGGGAGGCAGCAGUAGGGUAUCUUCGGCAAUGGACGAAAGUCUGACCGAGCAACGCCGCGUGAGUGAAGAAGGUUUUCGGAUCGUAAAGCUCUGUUGUAAGAGAAGAACGGGUGUGAGAGUGGAAAGUUCACACUGUGACGGUAUCUUACCAGAAAGGGACGGCUAACUACGUG